rnacentral:rRNA from 1 species
UACGGAGGAUCCGAGCGUUAUCCGGAUUUAUUGGGUUUAAAGGGUGCGUAGGCGGGAGGUCAAGUCAGCUGUGAAAUGUAUCUGCUUAACGGGUACACUGCAGUUGAAACUGGUUUUCUUGAGUGCGUAAGAGGCAGGCGGAAUUCGUUGUGUAGCGGUGAAAUGCUUAGAUAUGACGAGGAACUCCUAUUGCGAAGGCAGCUUGCUGGGUCGUUACUGACGCUGAUGCUCGAAGGUGCGGGGAUCAAACAGGAUUAGAUA